rnacentral:lncRNA from 1 species
UAUCCCUACUUCGGCUGCUUGGCAUCUCUCUCACACACGUGUAGUUAGAGAUUUGGUAUAUGACAUGAUUGAACCUGGAGGGGAUUGGAGAUCUCAGAGAGAAACUCCUGGAAGUUCUGGUGAAGCUGAGGGAGGAUCAGUGGGAAGUUGAAGAGUUGGAAGCUGAUGUCAGAGAAAAGAGAACUUCCUGGAAGGGUCUACCUGAGAGCCUGAAUAUCUCUCUCUCUUUCUCAUUCCUGAAGAAUCAAAUACAAAAUAAGAAAAAAGUGUCCAUACACAGUCUAAUCAAAUGAGAGGUAUCUUGGACUGUGAGGAGCAGAAGGAGUUGCUAAAGCUGAAGAAUGAGGAGGGAGAUAUUCUACAUAACCUGGCUUCAUCUGAGAAUGAGCCCAUCCAGCAGAGCCUGUUGGUAAGAGCUCUCAUCUCAGAUGUGGAGCAUUGGUUGCCGGGGUCAAUAAUGGAGAUGCUGCAGGUAAAACUUAGGUGGAAGUCCCAGCCUCUGAGAUUUGAGGAAAAUAAAGACUAGUUUCCUUCUCCUCUGUAUUACUGUAUUCUUUCUGGUGGUGACACUAAAAUUCCUUUAGCCCUGCAGCACCCCUUCCUGCAUCUGUUUCAGAGGUUAUAGGAAUAAUCAAAUGCAAGAAUAACAGGGAAAUUCUUGUUUUAUUAUUUAUUAUCAAGUGCA